rnacentral:misc_RNA from 2 species
GAUUAACAAUGAAAAGGGCUUCCUAAUGGAAGCCCUUUUUUAAUGCGUGUACGUUUUCGCUGAUAUGU